rnacentral:rRNA from 1 species
CUUCCGGUUGAUCCCGCCGGACCCGACUGCUAUCAGAGUGGGACUAAGCCAUGCGAGUCGACGUAGCAAUGCGUGGCGAACGGCUCAGUAACACGUAGUCAACAUGCCCAGGGGACGUGGAUAACCUCGGGAAACUGAGAAUAAACCACGAUAGGUCACGAUUUCUGGAAUGGAUCAUGGCCUAAAUCUACAUGGCCCCUGGAUUGGACUGCGGCCGAUCAGGCUGUUGGUGAGGUAAUGGCCCACCAAACCUAUAACCGGUACGGGCUCUGAGAGGAGAAGCCCGGAGAUGGGCACUGAGACAAGGGCCCAGGCCCUAUGGGGCGCAGCAGGCGCGAAACCUCUGCAAUAGGCGAAAGCCUGACAGGGUUACUCCGAGUGAUUUCCGCUAAGGGGAUCUUUUGGCACCUCUAAAAAUGGUGCAGAAUAAGGGGUGGGCAAGUCUGGUGUCAGCCGCCGCGGUAAUACCAGCACCCCGAGUGGUCGGGACGAUUAUUGGGCCUAAAGCAUCCGUAGCCGGUUCUGCAAGUCUUCCGUUAAAUCCAGCCGCUCAACGGAUGGGCCGCGGAGGAUACUACAGGACUAGGAGGCGGGAGAGGCAAGCGGUACUCAGUGGGUAGGGGUAAAAUCCUUUGAUCCAUUGAAGACCACCAGUGGCGAAGGCGGCUUGCCAGAACGCGCUCGACGGUGAGGGAUGAAAGCUGGGGGAGCAAACCGGAUUAGAUACCCGGGUAGUCCCAGCUGUAAACGAUGCAGACUCGGUGAUGGGCUAGCCUUGUGCCAGCCCAGUGCCGCAGGGAGGCCGUUAAGUCUGCCGCCUGGGCAGUACGGUCGCAAGACUGAAACUUAAAGGAAUUGGCGGGGGAGCA